CCUACGGGAGGCAGCAGUGAGGAAUAUUGGUCAAUGGGAGAGAUCCUGAACCAGCCAAGCCGCGUGAGGGAAGACGGCCCUACGGGUUGUAAACCUCUUUUGUCGGAGAACAAAACACGGGACGUGUCCCGGACUGCGCGUAUCCGAAGCAAAAGCAUCGGCUCACUCCGUGCCAGCAGCCGCGGUAAUACGGCGGAUGCGAGCGUUAUACGGAUUUAUUGGGUUUACAGGGUGCGUAGGCGGUCCGUU
rnacentral:rRNA from 1 species